GGAAAUGUGGCACCUAAGCUGGCUACAGUAAUCUCAUACUCAGGAGGCUGAGUCUAGAGGACUGUUUAAGACUAAGGCCGGCCUACAUUGCAUAGUGAGCUCCAGGCUUUCAAGGGCCACAGAGUGAGACCUUGUUUCAAAACCCACCUGCGCCCGUUUUUGUCUACUUCAAGCAAACUAAAGUCAUUUGGGAAGAGGAAGCUCCAACUGAGGAAUUGCCUUCAUCAGCGUUUCUGGAAUCGGACUCAGGGUCUUGCACAUUCUUUGCAAGCACUCCCCCCACUGAGCUCUGAGCUCUGUUCCAAGCCCAGGACAAGAUAUGUUAGUACUGUUUUCUGAAAACAGUCAUACCUUUCUUGUUUCUUUGCGUUCUGAACUUUAUUUGUUUUUGUACAAAGGCCUAGCACGCGCCCAUCUAUAGGAACAGAAACUGCGUACUAGGUUCGUCCUCCAUUUCCGGAUCUGAUCUGGGACGGAUAUGACCCUCGCGGCUUGAGCCGACGCAGAAAGAGCGACAACCCAGGCGGAUUACUCAUCCUGCUUUCCCGCGUCCAACCAGGGAGAAGGAGCGGGAUCGGACGCGCAUGCGCUUUCCUAAGUUUGUGUAGUUCCGUUCCUCUGGUUUUUGUAAAAGUCACCUAGGGAGAAGAGGCUGAAUCACUUCCUCCAUUCUUUUACCUUGAGGCGCUGGGAAGGGAACCUCAGGGCCUCGCGAGCACUCCAGCCACUUUCUCGUUUCUGUUGCACCGUUCUGCUAGGCCAGCAUGUCGUAGCAUGUUAUUGUCAUCACUACUUCCGCCGCGAUCGCCAGCGCCACGUGGCUCCACUCCUAGGAGAACACGGCUGUCAAUCUGAUUUUCGUCCCCGGGGCCGCACGCGUCCUUUAGAACCUGGGCGCGGCUGUUUCUGCGCACGCGCAGCGAUGCUAACACCAUUGGCGGGAGGGUACAGCUCGCCCCCUGGCGAGCAGCGCCGGGAGCACAAACGACACUCAAUGAUACUCUUGCGCACGCGCAGUGCAAACUCGGCCCCAGCGCGGGAUCGCAGUUUGGCCCCUAGGAGAGGGCGCGCUGCGCAAUCAGCAGCCAAGGGUUUGUGCGCAAGGCACACGCGCCUCCCCAUGAAGGAAAGCUGCGCGUGGGUCGAACGGUGCGCAUCAUGCCACUCGCCUCCGCUGCGGGGUCUCCUCUACCUUGAGGUUUUUGGGUUUGUGGUGUCUCUGGGCUUUUGCGUCAUACUCCAUAAUGGAGGGCGCCAGACCUAGUGCGAGCUACUAAACUUAGGGGAUAGAACCGGAUAGCGGAAGUUCCUAGAGCAGGCUCCCGGAAGUGAUCCAGCAAGUUCCUAGUCCAGUAAACUUUAACUCUAGUUCCCCGGACCGCGAGAAGAGGUGUACGGGUGUGGAAAUGUGAGACCACAAGGGUUUCGUGGAGAACGCGCCCCUUCACAUUUUGCCCCUAUUCCUCUCUUAAGGUGUUGAUGUAGAAAGGGAGUUUACUCUGGAGCUACAUAUAAGUGACUGGCCCAGGAUGACAGAUUCGGGUCAUUUCAAAUUCCAUUUUUAAUGUAGUAAUGUUUUGAUCGAGUGAUUUAUAUAACGGAACCAAGUUAUAAAACAAGAAAGACACGUUUCAAAUCCUGUGUUCCUCACAUUCAAUGCUGACCCCCGAACCCUACCUUAGGGAGAGGCAGCUGUGUA
rnacentral:lncRNA from 1 species